rnacentral:piRNA from 1 species
UGGGGCCAAGGUUCUGAUAACAGCACCAA